rnacentral:tRNA from 2 species
GAGGCUCAUAGGUUCCGGUUGGAUUUCUAAUCCUGUCGUAAGCGGUUCGAUUCCGUUUGUGCUUCU